rnacentral:rRNA from 1 species
CCUACGGGAGGCAGCAGUGGGGAAUAUUGCGCAAUGGGCGCAAGCCUGACGCAGCGAUGCCGCGUGAGGGAUGAAGGUCUUCGGAUCGUAAACUACUGUCAGCAGGGAAGAAGGGUCACUGUGCUAAUCCGCAGUGAAUUGACGGUACCUGCAAAGGAAGCACCGGCUAACUCCGUGCCAGCAGCCGCGGUAAUACGGAGGGUGCGAGCGUUAAUCGGAAUUACUGGGCGUAAAGCGCUCGCAGGCGGUAUGUCAAGUCAAGGGUGAAAUCCCCGCGCUUAACGUGGGAACUGCCUUUGAAACUGGCAAGCUAGAGUGUGGUAGAGGAUAGUAGAAUUCCAGGUGUAGGAGUGAAAUGCGUAGAGAUGUGGAGGAACAUCAGUGGCGAAGGCGACUAUCUGGCACAUAACUGACGCUGAGGAGCGAAAGCGUGGGUAGCAAACAGGAUUAGAUACCCUAGUAGUC